rnacentral:rRNA from 1 species
UACGUAGGGGGCAAGCGUUAUCCGGAUUUACUGGGUGUAAAGGGAGCGUAGGCGGUGCAGCAAGUCAGAAGUGAAAGCCCGGGGCUCAACUCCGGGACUGCUUCUGAAACUGUUGAACUAGAUUGCAGGAGAGGUAAGUGGAAUUCCUAGUGUAGCGGUGAAAUGCGUAGAUAUUAGGAGGAACACCAGUGGCGAAGGCGGCUUACUGGACUGUAAAUGACGCUGAGGCUCGAAAGCGUGGGGAGCAAACAGG